rnacentral:rRNA from 1 species
AACCAGCACCUCAAGUGGUCAGGAGGAUUAUUGGGCCUAAAGCAUUCGUAGCCUGUUCUAUAAGUUUGCGGUUAAAUCUAUGCGCUCAACGUUUAGGCUGCUGUAAAUACUGUAGAACCAGGGAGUGGGAGAGGUAGACGGUACUCGAUAGGAAGGGGUAAAACCCUUUGAUCUAUUGAUGACCACCUGUGGCGAAGGCGGUCUACCAGAACACGUUCGACGGUGAGGGAUGAAAGCUGGGGGAGCAAACCGG